GUGCCAGCAGCCGCGGUAAUACCGGCAGCCCGAGUGAUGGCCGAUCUUAUUGGGCCUAAAGCGUCCGUAGCUGGCUGCGCAAGUCCGUCGGGAAAUCCACUCGCCCAACAAGUGGGCGUCCGACGGAAACUGCACAGCUUGGGACCGGAAGGCUCGAAGGGUACGUUCGGGGUAGGAGUGAAAUCCCAUAAUCCCGCACGGACCACCGAUGGCGAAAGCACUUCGAGAAAACGGAUCCGACAGUGAGGGACGAAAGCUAAGAUCGCGAACCGGAUUAGAAACCCUUGUAGUCC
rnacentral:rRNA from 1 species